UGGGGCACGACCCUCAGGGAAGCUUCUCUGAUAUUCCUUUUUUUUUUCUUGAGACAGAGUCUUGCUCUGUCCCCCAGGCUGGAGUGCAGUGGCACGAUCUUGGCUCACUGCAACCUCCGCCUCCCAGGUUCAAGCAAUUCUGCCUCAGCCUCCUGAGUAUCUGGGCACGCACCACCACGCCCGGCUAAUUUUUGUAUUUUUAAUAGAGACGGGGUUUCACCAUGUUGGCCAGGAUGGUCUUAAACUCCUGACCUCAGGUGAUCCACCCGCCUCGGCCUCCCAAAGUGCUGGGAUUCCAGGCGUGAGCCCUGCACCCGGGCCUUCUCUGAUGUUCUGCCCAGCACCGCAGCUGAGGUCUCAAAGGGCCACCAUUUAUUUGAUCUUCUCCACAAACAUCCACAAAGCACUGGGCGCGCUGCCUUCGGGAAGCUCUUCCCGGGUGUCAGGAGAGGCUGCAGUCACAGCUGUUGUCUUCUGUGUUUGUUGCUGAAGCUGGUGGCAGGGUGAUGUCCUCCUUCCAGGAGGAUGAGCAGUCACAGGUUUACCCAGCCUGGUGGGCACAGCCCCUCUGAGGCGGGAAGGUCACAGCGGCUGUCCCAGCUGCCCCAGGAGUGUGGGAGCAACGGGGUCCCACCAUGUCGGGUAGCACCUGGGCCCACAGACCCCAGAGGCAACCUCACUCCUGCUGGCUUCGUCCAGGGUGUGUCGGCCAUGGGGGCCCCGUGGAGGGGAAGGGUCUGCCCUGUGGUUGCCGGGUUCUCUGUGGCACCUGGGGGGCAGAGGGGCCUGGCUGUAUGAGGCCAAGCGGCCCUUGAUUUGAUUGAACACCCCUGAGACAGAGCCUACCCAGCCAUGGCGGGGGGUCUUCAGGGCCUUCUGCCUGCCCCUUGCGCCCUUGUCUGCCCUGGGCAGCUGCCCUCAGCCUCUCCUGCACACUGGUCU
rnacentral:lncRNA from 10 species